rnacentral:pre_miRNA from 1 species
GGCGUCGGGACUCGCGGAGGGCCGGAGAAUGGAAGGCGAGGGGAUGCAGGAGGAGGAUCGGGACUCCCCAUCUUCUGCCCUUCCAUCCUCCGUUUUUCCGCUUUCCACCGCC